rnacentral:tRNA from 1 species
GCACCGGUGGUGUAAUGGCAUAGAGCAUUCCUGCCCGCUUAGAGCAGGUGGUGCGGGUUCGAGUCCCGUCUGGCGCU